CCUACGGGAGACUGCCGUGGGGGAUAUUGCACAAUGGGGGAAACCCUGAUGCAGCGACGCCGCGUGUGGGAAGACGGUCCUCUGGAUGGUAAACCACUGUCCCCAGGGACGAAGAUGACGGUACCGGGGGAGGAAGCUCCGGCUAACUACGUGCCAGCAGCCGCGGUAAUACGUAGGCAGCGAGCGUGGUCCGGAAUUACUGGGUGUAAAGGGAGCGUAGGCGGGACUGCAAGUUGGGUGUCAAAUCUACCGGCUCAACCGGUAGCCGCACUCAAAACUGCAGUUCUUGAGUGAAGUAGAGGCAGGCGGAAUUCCUAGUGUAGCGGUGAAAUGCGUAGAUAUUAGGAGGAACACCAGUGGCGAAGGCGGCCUGCUGGGCUUUUACUGACGCUGAGGCUCGAAAGUGUGGGGAGCAAACAGGAUUAGAUACCCGUGUAGUC
rnacentral:rRNA from 1 species